rnacentral:rRNA from 1 species
UGUCCUCCAAAUAGGGACCAGCAUGAAAGGCAACAUGAGAAAGGGCCUGUCUCUUUAGGCAAGUCAGUGAACCUGAUCUACCUGUACAAAAGCAGGUAUAAAAAAACAAGACAAAAAGACCCUGUGAAACUUUAAAUGCCCUCCAACCACACUGGAAAGGCAUUUUUCGGUUGGGGCAACCAAAGAGAAAUAGACCUCAUACAAUUGCAAGACAUACAAGUCUAGCAAGCACAAAAUGAUCCAGUAAAACUGAUCAAAGAACAAAGCUACUCCAGGGAUAACAGCGCCACAUUCUUAGAGAGUCCUUAUCAACAAGAAUACCUACGACCUCGAUGUUGGAUCAGGGUAUCCUAAUGGCGCAAAAGCUAUUAAAGGUUCGUUUGUUCAACGAUUAAAAC